rnacentral:lncRNA from 1 species
CAAUAGUAAUAGCAGUAUUAGUAGUAGUAGUAGUAGUUAUAGUAGUAGUAGUGGUAGUAGUAAUAAUAGAAGUAGCAGUAAUAAUAACAGUAGUAGUAAUAGCAGUUGUAGUAAUAGUAGCAGUAAUAGAAGUAACAGUAGCAGUAGUAGUAGCAGUAGUAUUAGUAGUAGCAGUAGUAGUACUACUACUACCUACAUAUACUAUGUACUUGAAGGCUUUAAACAUCAAUUAUAAAUCAAAACUUAAGUUUUACAAUUAAUCUGUAUUACUUCUUCCUCUCAUACUUCAAUAAAUUAUUAUAUUCAGCUAGCCUAUCUUUUGGUUUUUUCUAAAAAAAUAAAUUAGUUGAUCAUUUUGCCAUUUGUAGGUUGAUUUGUACAU